rnacentral:misc_RNA from 1 species
UCCGAGUUGACCCCGGCAGUCUCUUACGAGUCCCCGCCAUAACGCGCUGGCAACAUAAGAUAGGGGUUGCGCUCGUUGCGGGACUUAACCUAACAUCUCACGACACGAGCUGACGACAGCCAUGCAUCACCUGUCACCGAGUUCCUUGCGGCACAGCCCGGUUUCCCGGGCCUUCUCGGGAUGUCAAACCUUGGUAAGGUUCUUCGCGUAUCCUCGAAUUAAACCACACGCUCCACCGCUUGUGCGGGUCCCCGUCAAUUCCUUUGAGUUUUAAGCUUGCGCUCGUACUCCCCAGGCGGAAUGCUUAACGCGUUAGCUUCGCUACCGAGCCGGUCGAAGGGCCCAACAGCUAGCAUUCAUCGUUUACGGCGUGGACUAC